rnacentral:rRNA from 1 species
GUCUACGGCCAUGCCACCCUGAACAAGCCCGAUGUCUGAUCUCAGAAGCUAAGCAGGGUCGGGCCCGGUUAGUACUUGGAUGGGAGACCACCUAGGAAGACCAGGUGCUGUAGGCG